AUACGGAGGGUGCAAGCGUUGUUCGGAAUUACUGGGCGUAAAGCGCGCGUAGGCGGUCUGUUAUGUCGGAUGUGAAAGUCCUCGGCUCAACCGGGGAAGUGCAUUUGAAACUGGCAGACUUGAGUACUGGAGGGGGUGGUGGAAUUCCCGGUGUAGAGGUGAAAUUCGUAGAUAUCGGGAGGAAUACCGGUGGCGAAGGCGACCACCUGGCCAGAUACUGACGCUGAGGUGCGAAAGCGUGGGGAGCAAACAGGAUUAGAAACCCCGGUAGUCC
rnacentral:rRNA from 1 species